UUCCUACGGGAGGCAGCAGUGAGGAAUAUUGGGCAAUGGAGGCAACUCUGACCCAGCCACGCCGCGUGCAGGAAGACUGCCCUAUGGGUUGUAAACUGCUUUUAUACAGGAAGAAACUUACCCACGUGUGGGUAACUGACGGUACUGUAAGAAUAAGGACCGUCUAACUCCGUGCCAGCAGCCGCGGUAAUACGGAGGGUCCAAGCGUUAUCCGGAAUCAUUGGGUUUAAAGGGUCCGUAGGCGGGCAAUUAAGUCAGAGGUGAAAUCCCACAGCUCAACUGUGGAACUGCCUUUGAUACUGGUUGUCUUGAGUUACAGUGAAGUAGAUAGAAUAUGUAGUGUAGCGGUGAAAUGCAUAGAUAUUACAUAGAAUACCGAUUGCGAAGGCAGUCUACUAACUGUAUACUGACGCUAAUGGACGAAAGCGUGGGGAGCGAACAGGAUUAGAUACCCUGGUAGUCCACGCCGUAAACGAUGGUCACUAGUUGUUGGGGUCUUGUACCUCAGUGAUUAAGAGAAAUUGAUAAGUGACCCACCUGGGGAGUACGAUCGCAAGAUUGAAACUCAAAUGAAUUGACGGAA
rnacentral:rRNA from 1 species